rnacentral:rRNA from 1 species
CCUGGUUGAUUCCUGCCAGUAGUCAUAUCUUGUCUCAAAGAUAAGCCAUGCAUGUCUAAGUUUAAGCAAUAAACGGUGAAACUGCGAAUGGGCUAUUAAAUCAAGCUUAUAGUUCAUUUUGACGGUACCUUACUACAUGGAUAACUGUGGUAAUUCUAAGCAAUACAUGCUGAAAAAUCCCGACUUGUGGAAGGGAUGUAUUUAUUAGAUCCAAAACCAAUGGCUCCGGUCCAUAUGGUGAAUCAUGAUAAACUGCUCGAAUCGCAAGGCCUUGCGCCGGCGAUGCUUCAUUUCAAAUAUCUGCCCUAUCAACUUUCGAUGGUAGAGAUAGAGGCCUACCAUGGUGAUGACGGCGUAACGGGGAAUAAGGGUUCGAUUCCGGAGAGAGGGCCUGAGAGAAACGGCCCUCAGGUCUAAGGACACGCAGCAGGCGCGCAAAUUAUCCCCUGGCAACACUUUGCCGAGAUAGUGACAAUAAAUAACAAUGCAGGGCUCUUAUGGGUCUUGCAAUUGGAAUGAGUACAAUUUAAAUCCCUUAACGAGGAUCAAUUGGAGGGCAAGUCUGGUGCCAGCACCGCCGGGUAAUUCCAGCUCCAAUAGCGUAUAUUAAAGUUGUUGCCGUUAAAAAGCUCGUAGUCGAACUUCGGUCCCUGUAAGCCGGUCCGCCUUAUUGGUGUGUACUUGCUUUGCGGGGACUUACCUCCUGGUGAACUGCCAUGUCCUUUACUGGGUGUCGGUACAGCUAGGACGUUUACUUUGAAAAAAAUUAGAGUGUUCAAAGCAGGCCUAUGCCCGAAUACAUUAGCAUGGAAUAAUCGAAUAGGACGCGCGUUCCCAUUUUGUUGGUUUUUGAGAUCGCCGUAAUGAUUUAAAAGGGAUAGUUGGGGGCAUUUGUAUUCCGUUCGUCAGAGGUGAAAUUCUUGGAUUGCCGGAAGACAAACUACUGCGAAAGCAUUUGCCAAGGAUGUUUUCAUUGAUCAAGAACGAAGGAAGGGGGAUCGAAAACGAUCAGAUACCGUUGUAGUCUCUUCUGUAAACUAUGCCAAUUGGGGAUUAGCUCAGGAUUUUUAAUGACUGAGUUAGCACCCGAAGAGAAAUCUUUAAAUGAGGUUCGGGGGGAGUAUGGUCGCAAGGCUGAAACUUAAAGGAAUUGACGGCAAGGGCACCACCAGGUGUGGAGCCUGCGGCUCUUAAUUUGACUCAACACGGGAAACUCACCAGGUCCAGACACAAUAAGGAUUGACAGAUUGAUAGCUCUUUCUUGAUCU